rnacentral:lncRNA from 1 species
CCCUAACGGAGAUUGUGAAGGUUUUCAAAGUGGGGCACCUCGAUUUCUCGAAUCUGUGGUGUGGCGAAUAUCCGUGUUCUUCCGGCUUAACUAGCCUGUUUGAAAGAAAAUGCAAGGGGAAAUAUCUGAUACGGCUCUGUUAUUUGAUGCUUUGGGCAGCACUAUGCUCAGAAGUCAUUCAACUUCCUGCCAUCUCCCUAACUUGUAUUCUCUGGCAAAAUGAAGGUCUGAGACGUUUCUAAAAGACAGAGUUGGAAAUGAACCAUCAUUGGUGUUGACAGAGAUGCCAAGCAGUCACCUGAGUGCAUAUAGCGUAGGUCCUGACUUCAAUUCCCAGCAAUCACAUGAUGGCUCACAACUGUCUGUAAUGGGAUCUGAUGGCCUCAUCUAGUGUGUUUGAAGACAGCGACGGUAUAGUGUAUUCACAUAUAUAAAAUAAAUGAAUUUUUAAAAAUUUG